GAUGAACGCUGGCGGCGUGCCUAAUACAUGCAAGUCGAGCGAAUGGAUUAAGAGCUUGCUCUUAUGAAGUUAGCGGCGGACGGGUGAGUAACACGUGGGUAACCUGCCCAUAAGACUGGGAUAACUCCGGGAAACCGGGGCUAAUACCGGAGAACAUUUUGAACCGCAUGGUUCGAAAUUGAAAGGCGGCUUCGGCUGUCACUUAUGGAUGGACCCGCGUCGCAUUAGCUAGUUGGUGAGGUAACGGCUCACCAAGGCAACAAUGCGUAGCCGACCUGAGAGGGUGAUCGGCCACACUGGGACUGAGACACGGCCCAGACUCCUACGGGAGGCAGCAGUAGGGAAUCUUCCGCAAUGGACGAAAGUCUGACGGAGCAACGCCGCGUGAGUGAUGAAGGCUUUCGGGUCGUAAAACUCUGUUGUUAGGGAAGAACAAGUGCUAGUUGAAUAAGCUGGCACCUUGACGGUACCUAACCAGAAAGCCACGGCUAACUACGUGCCAGCAGCCGCAGUAA
rnacentral:rRNA from 1 species